rnacentral:rRNA from 1 species
CCUACGGGAGACAGCAGUGGGGGAUAUUGCACAAUGGGGGGAACCCUGAUGCAGCGACGCCGCGUGGGUGAAGAAGCGCCUCGGCGCGUAAAGCCCUGUCAGCAGGGAAGAAAAUGACGGUACCUGAAGAAGAAGCCCCGGCUAACUACGUGCCAGCAGCCGCGGGAAUACGUAGGGGGCAAGCGUUAUCCGGAUUUACUGGGUGUAAAGGGGGCGCAGACGGCGAUGCAAGCCAGGAGUGAAAGCCCGGGGCCCAACCCCGGGACUGCUCUUGGAACUGCGUGGCUGGAGUGCAGGAGGGGCAGGCGGAAUUCUUGGUGUAGCGGUGAAAUGCGUAGAUAUCAGGAGGAACACCGGUGGCGAAGGCGGCCUGCUGGACUGCAACUGACGUUGAGGCCCGAAAGCGUGGGGAGCAAACAGGAUUAGAUACCCUGGUAGUC